rnacentral:lncRNA from 1 species
CCCGGCCGCAAGGCGGGCUGCGCGGCCGUUGUGAGCGGAACGCGGAUUUCUCCCGCCGAGGCGGUGAUAAUCUUGUUACAGUUAAAAGUACCGCCACCAGGCAGCACAAAACAUCGGUGAAAAUAGUGAUUGCUGAAUUUGAUUUCAAUUUUAUUAUCAAUUCAAAAUGUUUCUUACGUCGACAGAAACGCCACCAGAAGAAAUACUAAGGGAACUAGUUUGGAUGCUAGGUACUUUAAAUGAUCUAAAGAAAGAUAUGAUUUCAGUCAAAGACACGCAUAAGGAAACAAGGGAAAACUAUGUUGAAACAAACAUCCUCAUGGAUGAGAUAUUGCUGGAAUCGGCCAAAAUGAGAAGUGGUAGAGUAUAGCAAAUAGAGGAAACAAAAUGGAAGAACAAGCUCAUAAUGUAAAACCUGUUGCUAACACUGCAAGAAAGUGACCGACCUUGAAGACAGAUGCAAACAAGCUUCAGAAUAAUUCAAGUAUAUCAGAGGGGACUGAAGAAGAAAAAUAUGUGAAUAACAUGGAAAAAAAAAAAACCUGUAAGAAAAUUUUCCCUAAGUUACAGCCUGACAUCAGAAAAAUAUUCACUCUCAACAAGAAGGAACAAGUUUCUAAGGCACAUUUUCAUCAGACUCUAAAAUCCAAGCCAGAAUCUUCAAAGCUUCAAGAAGAAAUCCUAUCAAAAAAAAUCUACCUUUUAUCACAUUGAAGUUAAAACCAUAGAAAAAGAGUGAUGUUGGAACAGAAUAUAAAACCAAAAGAUAGGGAUUUGGAUUCUAGAGUCAAAUUUGCAGCAAAUCUAUACUUUUUUUGAAGGCAGAGGAAAGAGGUUUAAAAAAUUAAGCCUUCAAAGAAUUCUUUGAAAAAAGAAUACCUAUGAGCAAAAGGGAAUCAGGAUUCCCUUGGAUAGAUAAGUAGUUAAGAUAUUCAACAAAGCAUUCCUAAAGUAUGUUAAAGAUAGUUUCUAUUACAAGAUAAAACUUAGAAAUCACUUAAAAGAUGUAGAAUUUAACAUUGU